GGAGGAAGUAGGGGAUCGAAAGACCUUAUGCUUUUGGAGUGGCCGAUGUCUGAUUAGCUAGUUGGUGAGGUAGAGGCUUACCAAGGCAACGAUCAGUAGUUGGUCUGAGAGGAUGACCAACCACACUGGGACUGAGACACGGCCCAGACUCCUACGGGAGGCAGCAGUGGGGAAUUUUGGACAAUGGGGGAAACCCUGAUCCAGCAAUGCCGCGUGAGUGAAGAAGGCCUUCGGGUUGUAAAGCUCUUUCAGUUGAGAAGAAAAGAUUCUGACUAAUAAUCAUAAUUAAUGACGGUAUCAACAGAAGAAGCACCGGCUAACUACGUGCCAGCAGCCGCGGUAAUACGUAGGGUGCGAGCGUUAAUCGGAAUUACUGGGCGUAAAGGGUGCGCAGGCGGUUAUGUAAGUCAGAUGUGAAAUCCCCGGGCUUAACCUGGGAAUUGCGUUUGAAACUACAAAGCUAG
rnacentral:rRNA from 1 species